ACGGAGGGUGCAAGCGUUGUUCGGAAUUACUGGGCGUAAAGCGCGGGCAGGUGGUCCUUUAAGUCCUUUGUGAAAUUCCGGGGCUCAACCCCGGAUGUGCAGAGGAUACUGGAGGACUGGAGACUGGUAGAGGCGAGCGGAAUUCCUGUGUAGCGGUGGAAUGCGUAGAUAUCAGGAAGAACACCGGUGGCGAAGGCGGCUCGCUGGGCCAGUUCUGACACUCAUCCGCGAAAGCGUGGGGAGCAAACAGGA
rnacentral:rRNA from 1 species